AUUGAACGCCGGCGGCAGGCCUAACACAUGCAAGUCGAGCGGGGGUAGCAAUACCCUAGCGGCGAACGGGUGAGGAAUGCUUGGGAAUCUGCCUGGUAGUGGGGGAUAACGUUCCGAAAGGAACGCUAAUACCGCAUACGUCCUACGGGAGAAAGGGGGGGAUCUUCGGACCUCUCGCUAUCAGAUGAGCCCAAGCGGGAUUAGCUAGUUGGUGAGGUAAAGACUCACCAAGGCGACGAUCCCUAGCUGGUCUGAGAGGAUGAUCAGCCACACUGGAACGGAGACACGGUCCAGACUCCUACGGGAGGCAGCAGUGGGGUAUAUUGGACAAUGGGCGAAAGCCUGAUCCAGCCAUGCCGCGUGUGUGAAGAAGGCCUUCGGGUUGUAAAGUACUUUCAGCGGGGAGGAAGGCGAUAAGGUUAAUAACCUUGUCGAUUGACGUUACCCGCAGAAGAAGCACCGGCUAACUCCGUGCCAGCCGCCGCCGUAA
rnacentral:rRNA from 1 species